rnacentral:rRNA from 1 species
GAUGAACGCUGGCGGCGUGCUUAACACAUGCAAGUCGAACGAUGAAGCCCAGCUUGCUGUGUGGAUUAGUGGCGAACGGGUGAGUAACACGUGAGUAACCUGCCCUUGACUCUAGGAUAAGCCCGGGAAACUGGGUCUAAUACUGGAUAGGAACGUCUACCGCAUGGUGGGUGUUGGAAAGAAUUUCGGUCAUGGGUGGACUCGCGGCCUAUCAGCUUGUUGGUGAGGUAAUGGCUCACCAAGGCGACGACGGGUAGCCGGCCUGAGAGGGUGACCGGCCACACUGGGACUGCGAGACGCCCCAGACUGGUACGGGAGGCAGCAGUGGGGAAUAUUGCACAAUGGGGGAAAGCCUGAUGAAGCGACGCCGCGUGAGGGAUGACGGCCUUCGGGUUGUAAACCUCUUUCAGUAGGGAAGAAGCGAAAGUGACGGUACCUGCAGAAGAAGCACCGGCUAACUACGUG